rnacentral:rRNA from 1 species
AUUAAACGCUGGCGGCAUGCCUUACACAUGCAAGUCGAACGGCAGCACGGGGGCAACCCUGGUGGCGAGUGGCGGACGGGUGAGUAACACAUCGGAACGUGCCCUGGAGUGGGGGAUAACGCAGCGAAAGCUACGCUAAUACCGCAUAUUCUGUGAGCAGGAAAGCAGGGGGAUCGCAAGACCUUGCGCUUUGGGAGCGGCCGAUGUCGGAUUAGCUAGUUGGUGGGGUAAAGGCUUACCAAGGCGACGAUCCGUAGCGGGUCUGAGAGGAUGAUCCGCCACACUGGGACUGAGACACGGCCCAGACUCCUACGGGAGGCAGCAGUGGGGAAUUUUGGACAAUGGGCGGAAGCCUGAUCCAGCCAUGCCGCGUGAGUGAAGAAGGCCUCGG